ACGGGAAUUGCCUUAGUAGCGGCGAGUGAAGCGGCAAAAGCUCAAAUUUGAAAUCUGGCUCUUUCACGAGUCCGAGUUGUAAUUUGAAGAAGGUAUCUUUGGGUCUGGCUCUUGUCUAUGUUUCUUGGAACAGAACGUCACAGAGGGUGAGAAUCCCGUGCGAUGAGAUGAUCCAGGCCUAUGUAAAGUUCCUUCGAAGAGUCGAGUUGUUUGGGAAUGCAGCUCUAAGUGGGUGGUAAAUUCCAUCUAAAGCUAAAUAUUGGCGAGAGACCGAUAGCGAACAAGUACAGUGAUGGAAAGAUGAAAAGAACUUUGAAAAGAGAGUGAAAAAGUACGCGAAAUUGUUGAAAGGGAAGGGCUUGAGAUCAUACUUGGCCUUUUGUAUGUU
rnacentral:rRNA from 1 species